GACGUAGGGCGCGAGCGUUGUCCGGAUUUAUUGGGCGUAAAGAGCUCGUAGGCGGUUUGUCGCGUCGGGAGUGAAAUCCACUGGCUUAACUGGUGGCUUGCUUUCGAUACGGGCAGACUGGAGGUAUGCAGGGGGAGAACGGAAUUCCUGGUGUAGCGGUGAAAUGCGCAGAUAUCAGGAGGAACACCGGUGGCGAAGGCGGUUCUCUGGGCAUGUCCUGACGCUGAGGAGCGAAAGUGUGGGGAGCGAACAGG
rnacentral:rRNA from 1 species